rnacentral:rRNA from 1 species
AGCAUAUCAAUAAGCGGAGGAAAAGAAACUAACAAGGAUUCCCCUAGUAACUGCGAGUGAAGCGGGAAGAGCUCAAAUUUAAAAUCUGGCGGUCAUUGGGCCGUCCGAGUUGUAUUCUGGAGAAGCGCUUUCCGCGCCGGACCGUGUAUAAGUCUCUUGGAAUGGAGCGUCACAGAGGGUGAGAAUCCCGUCUUUGACACGGACUGCCGGUGCUUUUGUGAUGCGCUCUCGAAGAGUCGAGUUGUUUGGGAAUGCAGCUCAAAAUGGGUGGUGAAUUCCAUCUAAAGCUAAAUAUUGGCGAGAGACCGAUAGCGAACAAGUACCGUGAGGGAAAGAUGAAAAGCACUUUGAAAAGAGAGUCAAACAGUACGUGAAAUUGUUGAAAGGGAAACGCUUGAAGUCAGUCGCGUGGGCCGGAACUCAACCUCACUUCUGUGGGGUGCACUUUCCGAGUCAACGGGCCAACGUCGAUUUUGGCUGCCGGACAAGGAUUGGGGGAAUGUGGCACUCGCUUGCGGGUGUGUUAUAACCUCCGGUCGGAUACGGCGGAUCGGGAUCGAGGACCGCGGUGGCUCUUCGGGGCUGCUUAGGAUGUUGGCGUAAUGGCUUUAAACGACCCGUCUUGAAACACGGACCAAGGAGUCUAACGUGCAUGCGAGUGUUUGGGUGGAAAACCCGGGCGCGUAAUGAAAGUGAAAGUUGAGACCUCUGUCGCGGAGGGCAUCGACGCCCGGACCUGAUCUUCGGUGACGGAUCUGCGGUAGAGCAUGUGCGUUGGGACCCGAAAGAUGGUGAACUAUGCCUGAAUAGGGUGAAGCCAGAGGAAACUCUGGUGGAGGCUCGUAGCGAUUCUGACGUGCAAAUCGAUCGUCAAAUUUGGGUAUAGGGGCGAAAGACUAAUCGAACCAUCUAGUAGCUGGUUC